AUUAAUUAGUAUUUCAUUAUUGUAUAGGGUAGUUAAGGCUACCUAGGUGUAGACGUAAAUAAAACACAAUCUAACAGGUAGAAAAUUAAAUUAGAAACAUCUAAACUUUUCAGAACGCAGCAAUUGCGCCGCUGGCACUGAUCUAUAAUAUAUAUAGAUCAGUGGCCGCUGGUCAUGCACAUCAUUUCCUGUAACAAAUCUGAAAGCUAAGCCAAGAUGGAGAAACAGCUGAUCAUAGCUGUACAAGGAUAGCCAUUUUUAAAAUGAAUUUAUUAGCAGAGCUACUGCAAGGGAUUUUUAGUGCUGGAAAUCCAUUUAUUUUUUGCUGAAACUUCUGCGUCUUCAUGGAGAGCAGGUCUUGGUUGCUUAGCAACAGCAGACGCCACAAAGUGCUUUGUGAAAAAGGAGAAAGCAGCGCGCCUAGCGUUUUCCACAUGUUUUCAGUUUAACAUCAUGCUAAAUGUGGUUUUGUUUUUAAGGAGAAUUAUUUUUUUAUUUUACUUUUUUUGCUGGACUCGGUCGAGACCAAUGAGAACAUUUGGCGAGUCCAAUGGCCAAGUCCGAGUGCAAACGCAACGAGUCUGAGACAAGUCCGAGACUAUAGAAAAAUGUCUCAAGUCCGGGACCAGACUCGAGUACUACAGCCCUACCUGCACCUUCAAUUUUUGUAACACAUUUCUGGUUGUGACGCUUUCCAUAGGGACCCCUAACGCCAUUGUCGACGUAACGUCAAACAUGACUGACUGAUAGAGAAUAUCUCAGUUAUGUAUGUAACCCUCGUUCCCUGAAGGAGGGAACGGAGACGUUACAUCCCUCGUGCCACAACCGUGAACUGCACUGAAUGCCAGGAUGCUUCUUGGCUCCUCAGCACAAACCUGAAUAAGUGAAUGCACACUGCCAUCUAAUAUACCCAUAUGUACGGGGAGUGGCUUGGCAUUCAAAUUCCACUCGCCAAUUGUCAUUGGCCAUUUCUUGUAAUGCUCAGAGGGGACUGGGGCUCCCAAGUGAGACCCCUAACAUCAGUGUUGACAGUACCGUCGCAAGGGCUGUGCCAAAUGUGCGACCACACAGGGCCUCAAACCUCUAGAGGGCCUUGCUCCUGGCUUGCAUUUUAUGUCGAUUACGCCUAAUUUUUAUUACUGUUUUUCCACCCAUUUUGUCCUUUGAAAGACUAAAAUAGUCAUAGCUGAUAGACAGUCUAAGAUUCUGUGUAUAAGAAUGAGUAAAGCUGUUUGUUGUUAGGAUAACAGUUUUAAAAGUUAAACUUUCAGGCUGGUAUGCCUCAGUAGUCCAACAGCGCUCAUCAAUGUCAAAAUGAUCGAGAUGGCCAAUCAGAUCAAAGAAAGCGGGUCUUA
rnacentral:lncRNA from 1 species